UUGAGUUUCUCUUCAUCAUCC
rnacentral:misc_RNA from 1 species